rnacentral:rRNA from 1 species
GCCAUGCAUGUGUAAGUAUAAAUAAUUCUACUUUGAAACUGCGAAUGGCUCAUUAUAUCAGUUAUAGUUUAUUAGAAAUAAUUUACUACUUGGAUAACCGUAGUAAUUCUAGGGCUAAUACAUGAGUAAAUCCUCGACUUUGAAGAGGUGUGUUUAUUAGUAUGAAAACCAUAUGCUUUUGCAUAAUAGUGAGUAAUAAUAACCUUUCAUAUCGUAUGUUGUAAUAACGAUAGUUCUUUCAAGUUUCUGCCCUAUCAGCUUUCGAUGGUAGUGCAUUGGACUACCAUGGCAGUAACGGGUAACGAAGAAUUUGGGUUCGAUUUCGGAGAGGGAGCCUGAGAGAUGGCUACCACAUCCAAGGAAGGCAGCAGGCGCGUAAAUUACCCAAUCCUGACAUAGGGAGGUAGUGACAAUAAAUCACAAUGCGGGACUUUUAGUUUUGCAAUUGGAUUGAGAACAAUGUAAAAGAGUUAUCGAUAAACAAUUGGAGGGCAAGUCUGGUGCCAGCAGCCGCGGUAAUUCCAGCUCCAAUAGCGUAUAUUAACGUUGUUGCA